rnacentral:lncRNA from 1 species
UGCCUGUACUCAGAAUUCCUGUGGUCUUCUAUGUCACCAAGGGAAAAAAGUGAAUGAGUGCUUUCACCAGAGGCCUCCAGGAAGGCUCAGCUCCAGGAGACAAAACCCAGGCAAACAAUCAGCUUAAAGGAAGCUUCCCUUGAGGCCUGGGGAGAGAUGCGUGGGGCUGAGAAAACUUUUCCAGGCUGUGGGAAGAGCUGCUGUGGACUCUGAACUUAUCCUUGCUCCUUCCUGAACACCAUUUCGAGAACAUCUCUGGUGCGGAUGUUAACCAGACGAACCGUACAAGCCAUGCACCUCCAAGUGGAGGUUCCUCUGGCUGUUCUGAAACUUCGGGGAACAGAAUGACUUUUUCAGGACUCUGGCUUUUCAGGUGAGACAGUUCCUGAUGAUGCUUUUUGGAGUAAGGGCUGAACAGGCACCAGGUACUGGUUUCUCAUGUGCUCCUUGUUAGUCACACCUCACCCUGUGUAGAGUACAAACACUCCCAAGUCAUGAACAACAGCAUCCCACAAGGAUGCAGGAGAACACAAUCCCGUUUGGUUUUUCAAACAAACUCAUUCAUUGGUGGGUACAGAAUUGCAGACUCCCUGAUACUCGUGUGCACACCCCAAGAUGAGGUCCCCUGCUCCAGGAAACCUGUAACUAAAAGCACUAGUUUCCUGAAGCUGGCUGAACUGGGUAAGGGUUUUCUAUUGCCUUUGAAGUGCAGAUCUGGAACCUCUGGGGAGCUUCUAUUUUAAAGAUACAAGAAGAAUAAGGCUGUUUCCUUCCUUUUAGAAGACCGACAGGUAUAAACAAACCAGGAGGGGUGGGGGCGGGCUGCCUGGUCUCUGAGGUCAGGAGCCAGCAACAGGAGCGGAGAAGCAUCCCUCUGCAAUGCAUGACUGCGAAGUAUGCAAAAUCAUGCCAAGUUAAUUUGGUGCAGCUGGGGAGGAUGGGCGGCUCUGUCAGAGUCUGUUGUUUGUGAGCCAAGCACCUCAUUUCUCCAGCUGUUCAUGAGCGUGUGUGUGUGUGUGUGUGUGUGUGUGUGUGUGUGUGUGUCCUAAAGGAAACAAAGAUGUAGAGGAAAUGAAGACGUUAGAGCCAGAAGCCAGUUUCUGCCAACAGGAACAAAGGGGACGAUUGUGCUUCUCAUUCGGAGGCCACACUGUCAAGAGGCACGAGACACCAAUACGCACUGAGACUGUAUGAGGGCCCCCGCCAAGGGAACGUCCAGAUACACUCUUUCACAACCCAGGGCUCUCAGAAAGACUGGUCAGGGCGUGGCUGCUUUCGUGGUGGCCUCUCCAAGUAAGAGAAAAUGCAAAUAUUGUGCCUGCUCUGUAGCUUUCUUCAAACCAGUGCAAGUCUUUCUCAGCGCAAGGUCACACUUUUCUCUCAAUAUUAGUUAAAAACAGCCCUGGUCUUGUUUCAGGAAAGCUUCCCAGGACAGUAGCCAAACUCUUACCAAACACACACA